UCAACACGCCAAUCUCUCUUCCUCACAUUCAUCUAUCUCAUAGUCCGACCGUCUCAGACCACAGCGCCGGCGGCUGUCGCCGACGACGGUGGUGACCUAAACCUAAUUUUCCAUCACCAUUGGAUGCGCAAGGAUGCGUUGGAGAUGAAUAUGGGACUGGAUUCGGGAAUUGGUUAUUGGAUUGGCUGAACCGAACGAAACUUUGGAAGAACCCUAAUUCCUUAAAUUCAAAUUAAAUGGAAAUGGGCAAGAAUUGACCUCUACCACAAUGGGGGUUGGACUCUCCUCCCUAUGUUCUACAUUCUGGUAAGCUUAGAGCAAGAAGAGUCACUUAAGCAAAAUCACUUACCGGAGAAGGAGACCAGAAAGUCUAAUAGGUGAGUUCUUGAGCACGAUUCUUCCUCUUCUUUUCCCCUCUUUUCUUCUUCUUCUUCUUCUUCUUCUUCUUCUUCUUCUUGCUGCAAUGGUGUGCUUAAUGUGGAACUUUAUUAUGGUCAUGAAUGAACUGCUGCCAUUGUAUAUGUCUAGUGUAUGUCAUGCUGCAGGUUGUUCCAUUUCUACAGGCCUGAUCCAGUUGUUCUGCAUUGCAUCAGAGGGUGAGUUUUGACUUCAUGCAAUUUUGCAGCAUGUCAACUCUAUUUGGUUCAUGGUUCGCCAACAAUACUUCAUGGCUUGGUUUAAUUCUACCUUUAUUUGUGCAUUAGGCUCUCAUGUGAUCAUGCUUGGUUUUGACUUAGACGAUGCUGAUUGCAAGUUGUUGCAAUUUCUGACUUGUAUGUAGGACUGACUUAGGUGCAUUGCAGCUAGGAGUUCAUGUAGGCCAUGGUUGGUUGGUUGAACAAAUAAAGUGACAAAAGACUUCCUCAUGAAGCAACAAGUAAAUUGGACAUUAAAUGAUCAACAAGGAAUGUAAGAAUUAGGGUUAUGAUUAGGAGAUUUAGGGUUUUAGGAUGGAAAGGGGUUGAGUUGACUUUGGUCAAAGUUGACCAAAGUCAACCUUUGGUCAAAGUUCAUUUUUAUUUGUAUUUUUCUUGUAAAUGGACAUUGAAUGAAUGAUUAUGGGUGAUUUUAGAGUUUAAGGGAUUUGGGUUGACUUUGGUCAAAGUUGACCAAAAAGUCAAAUGUUAACCAAAGUCAACAAUUUGUCAAAAAUUGUCAAGACUUGUAAUUUUUUUUAUGUAAAAUCAAUGUGAUGGUUUAUAAUGGUUUGAAGUGGAUUGACAAAUGGUUUGAAAUUGGUUUCCAAAUUGUUUUGUUUUAUGUACAUGAAUGCCUGGUCUUGAAAUGAAAAGAACAUGACUUGACUGGUAACAUGGUUUAUGAACAAAGUUAUGAAUUGAGGGCAUCAAAUUAGGGUUUGAAUGAAACACCCAUAAGUCAAUGGGCAUGACCUACAACUAGAUUGUGACACAAAAGGUUUGGUUGUAUGGAUGACCAAGGGCAUAGAUGCACCAGUAAUUAGAUGGACUAAACAAUAAGACAUUGAGACCAAGAUGGAUUCAAGACCAAUGUCCAAAGGAGACCAAAGUAAGGUUAGACAAUGUACAUGACAAUAGGUGAAAAUUGGAUGACAUUUAGGAUUGUGGAUGUCACUAGAUGAAGAGUCCUGCCACCAAGUCCAUCAUAUUCAUUAUCUCCUUUAUUAUGGUUUUGGUGAGGCAUACCCUUCAAGCAAGUCCUUUGAACAAAACCAUAUGCUUCACCAACAAGUCUUCCAAUUCUCUCCUCUAUUUUCCCAUAGCCUCCUCAAAUCUCCCUAAUCGGAACCAUCCGUAUGAGGAGCCUAGAUGUCAAAUUUGGAAAUGAACGAUGGCGACGCGAAAUCCGGUUCCCCUAGCAUAUCGUUAAUUUUACCAGAUGACGACGACUUUGAAGGCGAUUAUCAAGAACAAGACGAAUAGUAUACCUUCAGGGCAAACUGUUGCGGUGACGGUAGAAUUGAAAUACACAGAUACGCGUCACACUUGGAGUUCGAAUCGCAGCAGCACUAGAUGAAAGCGAGAGAGGGUCGUGCUUCCAGAUUGUGAAUCGUGGACUGUUGCAGGCUCCGAUGGUUGAUUGAAUCAGAGUUUGGUUGAAGUAUACAGAUUGGAGAUGGGAGGUUGAGGAUUGAAGGGGCUAUGAAGAUGAAGAAGAAGAGAAAGAUUGAAGAUUUGUGAGGAUGAAGUAGAAGAAAAAGAUUGAAGAUGGAAGAGUGAAGAAAAUCAACCCCGUUAAGAUGAUUGGAGGUUGCGGUGAUCAAAGACUAAGAGAUCCAUCAUGGGAGAGGGCGGUAUCGAGAACAGCAUAGAUGACAAGUGUAUCGGGAAGGUCGCUUCUUUGAAAGCGGUUGUACGCCACUUGGGAAGCAAAGUGCGUUUUUUCAAGUAGCUAUUGAAUUGCUGCACUGCUACGGCAGCAUCUACAAGUGAUGGUUCUGAUUUUGAGCAUGUGAAAUAACAUGGUGUAGUGGUCUUGCUCAUGGCGAAUCGUCGCUUGAACAAUGGAAUGAUGAUAUUUGGGAUGUGGGCUACCUUGCCGAAGUGGUGGGCUGAGUGAUAUGGAAGCAUCUCAUGAAAACUUAUUAGGGACAUCUUAUGUAGAAUAAAAGCUAGUGUAGAAUUUAAACCCUCUUUGUAAUGACACCUUUAAUUAUCAAUGCCAAUUCCCAAGGAUGAAUGUUAGCAAUGUAUUACUAUGGAUAGCUUAUGCUUCAUGGCGAAAUGCUUACGAACUUAAGUCGCAUGCUUGUUUAAACCAAAUUCAUUUGUGAUCUCAAUUCUAUUCAAAGCUCA